rnacentral:lncRNA from 1 species
UGAGUCAAUAGACAAUGAAUUCCAACUGAUACAGGAUAAUAAGUGGAUACUUUCAGUACUGCUUGAUGGGGCGGGCUAGUAUCUGCAAUGUGACAAGCCACUGGAAACCACCUUUCUGAAGCACUUUUGCAUGUUGCCAGGCUUUUGUGAAUAUCGCAAUGGAAAUCAUUUUGAGGUCUCUAUACUGCAUUGUAAUCAUGACAGACCUACUUGGCAGACCAAAAAAUCUGAUCUCUCGAAACAUCUGGACAGCAAUCAAAGAGCACUGUUAAGCAGCCUGUUGAAUUUAUGAGACAUUAUCCUUGUAUGGAGCCUAUCAAAAAAGAACCUUUAUAAAUAUGAACGCCAGAAUUAAAGCUAAAGGUGAGCCAUAACUCUUUAUUUCAGCAAGAUCUUGGUUACAAAUUAACUUUGCUAAUGCUUAGUGCACAAGGGCUUAUCCCACAUGUUGUUUCAGGAAAUGGAUCCUGUUGCUGUUCUCUGGAGACACGUUAUAUCAUUCCUGCGCAUUUUUUAAGUCAAUAACGUUGCAGAGACUGGUAUAAUUAAGAGUUGCAUGCAGAAAGGUGGAGGUUGUUGGUAAAAGGGGAAUGGGAAGACAAUUGCAUAAUCUGAUACUUUAAAAUUUCUGAAAUCCCAGGAAGAUCUCUGKUUUUUUAAUUGCUUUUUUAAAACAUUUUAAAAUAUGUUUGAGGUCAAUUUAGCUGGAAUAAUUUAGAAAAGUUAGUAAUAGUAGAAAUAUACUAGCCAAGGUAGUCUAAGGUAUAAGCCAGGCGAGUUUURUGGGAAGAGAUACUGUAUUUUAUUAGAUGAGCUAAUAUGUUUGUGAAAAGCAUACAAGCUUUUGGGCUUACUAGCCGUUGAUACCAUGCAUAAGCUUCAAAUAAGUUUUCAAGGAUCUUUAGCAUUGAUAUGAAUAGGACUUCUUUAACUCAGCAUGUUGCCAUAACUGAACCUUUUAACUUCUUCCUUUCAGAUUAGAUCCUAAAAGACUGUUGCGUAGGUAUUGGCCUUUUCUGUGCCAAUCCACCGAGGUCUGUCAGCAUAUAUGUAAAACUCGCCAAGAGUGUAUUUUGUGUAUGAUCUGCUAUACAAAUCUAAAUAUCCCAUUUUGUAGGAAGUAGUUAGGUAUUAGGGCUAUGAAAUGGCACAAUCAUGUAGGUAGCUAAUUUGUAACAGCUUGGUACUUUUUUCUGUGAAUGUAGCGAUAGGCAGAAUCCCUGCUUAUGUUCAUGCACCCCCUGAUUGCCCCGUGAUAUAUGUACAUUUGAGAGGGGAGGAAUAGUUUGGGA